GACGAACGCUGGCGGCGCGCUUAACACAUGCAAGUCGAACGGAAAGGCCUGCUUUCCCUUGUGGAUUGCGGGUACUCGAGUGGCGAACGGGUGAGUAACACGUGAGUGAUCUGCCCCCAACUUGGGUAUAAGCCUGGGAAACUGGGUCUAAUUCCCGAUAGGACUGCAGGGUGGUGCCUGUGGUGGAAAACGAUUUUCUAGUGGUUGGGGAUGAGCUCGCGGCCUAUCAGCUUGUUGGUGGGGUAAUGGCCUACCAAGGCGGCGACGGGUAGCCGGCCUGGGAGGUUGGCCGGCACAUUGGGACUGAGAUACGGCCCAGACUCCUACGGGAGGCAGCAGUGGGGAAUAUUGCACAAUGGGCGGAAGCCUGAUGCAGCGACGCCGCGUGGGGGAUGACGGCCUUCGGGUUGUAAACUCCUUUCGACCGCGAGGAAGCCACCUGGUUGGAAGGGUGGUGACGGUAGUGGUAGAAGAAGCACCGGCUAACUACGUG
rnacentral:rRNA from 1 species